CCGCCGAUUUCCGAGAACAGAGCUCUUCCUCGCCGAGCGCACGCACCCAACCGGUGUUUGAAAUCACUCGCCAGCCAUCGUUGACGGUGCCACGAUGAAGCUACUCACCAUCGUACUUUUUGCUGGGCUUGUCGCACUCUGUUGCGGGGUUGGAGACAAUGUUCAAGGCCGCGGCCCUGGUGAACCUGUUCAAGGCCGCGGCGCUGGUGGACCUGUUCAAGGCCGAGCCCCUGGCGAACCUGUUCAAGGCCGCGGCGCUGGUGGACCUGUUCAAGGGCGCCGCCCUGGUUGACCUGUUCAAGGGUGAAUGAAAUGCGUGGAGCAAGCACGUUCAAGAAAGGGCUCUCCAGUUGCACCAGCAUGGACGAUCGCUUCUGGCCAUGGUUUGAACCACGCAACACAUAACACGUCAAUCGCAACCGUAUUUGCUUCAAUGAAUAAAAAUACAUAAAUACGAA